GAGAUCCCUUUUGUGUUGUAAGUCAGUGAGUUACAUGCAAUGUACAUGUUUCAAAAAUCCUGAAAAUAUUUUUCAUCACGGAGCCGGCCUCCUUUCUUUUCUUGGUUAGAGAGAAUUUCAUUGAAAUCACCUACUAGAUCCAAAGGCCUUGUCUUGUGGUUACCAUUCUUUCUAUUCUUUUCCACAACACAUGGUGAUACUUAAGGUUUGGAUCACCAUAAAUACAAAAUAAGUAGAAAACAAUAUCAUCAGAUUUCACUUCAACCUCUAACAUUCUUACAUCCCAAAAUAAAUUUCUGACAUAAACCUCCUUCUUCCAAAAUAAAGAUAAGCCACCACUCCUACCAACAGAAGGAAUUGAGAAAAUAUUAUCAAAUUCUAAGACAAAAACUAAGUCACACACACAAUACAACUACUAUACUUUCAAAAAUGAAAAACAUAUCCGGGGAAACAGAAUGACAUAUUUCUUUGACUCGCGGGUCAGCCAGCAG
rnacentral:lncRNA from 1 species